GUGGGGAAUCUUCCGCAAUGGACGAAAGUCUGACGGAGCAACGCCGCGUGAACGAUGACGGCCUUCGGGUUGUAAAGUUCUGUUAUACGGGACGAAUGGUACGACGGCCAAUACCCGUCGUAAGUGACGGUACCGUAAGAGAAAGCCACGGCUAACUACGUGCCAGCAGCCGCGGUAAUACGUAGGUGGCAAGCGUUGUCCGGAAUUAUGUGGCGUAAAGGGCGCGCAGGCGGCGUCGUAAGUAGGUCUUAAAAGUGCGGGGCUUAACCCCGUGAGGGGACCGAAACUGCGAUGCUAGAGUAUCGGAGAGGAAAGCGGAAUUCCUAGUGUAGCGGUGAAAUGCGUAGAUAUUAGGAGGAACACCAGUGGCGAAAGCGGCUUUCUGGACGACAACUGACGCUGAGGCGCGAAAGCCAGGGGAGCAAACGGGAUUAGAUACCCCAGUAGUCC
rnacentral:rRNA from 1 species